rnacentral:miRNA from 1 species
CUCGGACCGCAACCUCCCUUUCU